rnacentral:lncRNA from 1 species
CUAUGUGUUAUGCAGAUCCUCCUGGAGUGGGAAGCAGCCUGCUGCAGAGCCAAGGCUUUCUAGCAGGAAGGACCCCUCUCCAGCUUUGGCUGCUCCUAGGCUGGGCUCUGAUGUUUCCAGUGCAUCAUCUUGCUCUUCUCCAUGAGAACAACUAA